rnacentral:rRNA from 1 species
CAUCGUCAGCGACAUCCGGCGGUGAGACGACCCAGAUGUGGCGAUCUUGAUCUCGUCGACUUGCGGAUCGUCAGCACGAAGCAGGAGGCCGAGGGAGAGUUGCAGGGAUUGAUCCUGGGGCGGGUUGCCAGCGCGCGGUUGAUCGCAGCUUCGCUCGUCCGCCGGUCGCGCGAAAAUAGUCGUUCACGAACAGCGUCGAGAUGGACUCG